UUUGGCGUUGGGUUUGCGCGCAACAAUGCCGUUACCAACCGCGUGCAACAGGUGGGUUUUACCCAGACCGGUACCGCCAUA
rnacentral:antisense_RNA from 1 species